CCGGCGAUGGUUCAUUCAAAUUUCUGCCCUAUCAACUUUCGAUGGUAGGAUAGUGGCCUACCAUGGUUUCAACGGGUAACGGGGAAUUAGGGUUCUAUUCCGGAGAGGGAGCCUGAGAAACGGCUACCACAUCCAAGGAAGGCAGCAGGCGCGCAAAUUACCCAAUCCCGACACGGGGAGGUAGUGACAAUAAAUACUGAUACAGGGCUCUUUUGAGUCUUGUAAUUGGAAUGAGUACAAUUUAAAUCCCUUAACGAGGAACAAUUGGAGGGCAAGUCUGGUGCCAGCAGCCGCGGUAAUUCCAGCUCCAAUAGCGUAUAUUAAAGUUGUUGCAGUUAAAAAGCUCGUAGUUGAACCUUGGGCCUGGCUGGCCGGUCCGCCUCACCGCGUGCACUGGUCCGGCCGGGCCUUUCCUCCUGGGGAGCCGCAUGCCCUUCACUGGGUGUGUCGGGGAACCAGGACUUUUACUUUGAAAAAAUUAGAGUGUUCAAAGCAGGCCUAUGCUCGAAUACAUUAGCAUGGAAUAAUAGAAUAGGACGUGUGGUUCUAUUUUGUUGGUUUCUAGGACCGCCGUAAUGAUUAAUAGGGAUAGUCGGGGGCAUCAGUAUUCAAUUGUCAGAGGUGAAAUUCUUGGAUUUAUUGAAGACUAACUACUGCGAAAGCAUUUGCCAAGGAUGUUUUCAUUAAUCAGUGAACGAAAGUUAGGGGAUCGAA
rnacentral:rRNA from 1 species